CCAGUAGUGGUUCAGUGGUAGAAUUCUCACCUUUCAUGUGGGAGACCCGGGUUCGAUUCCCAGCCAAUGCA
rnacentral:tRNA from 1 species